rnacentral:rRNA from 1 species
CCUACGGGUGGCAGCAGUGAGGAAUAUUGGUCAAUGGACGAGAGUCUGAACCAGCCAAGUAGCGUGAAGGAUGACUGCCCUAUGGGUUGUAAACUUCUUUUAUACAGGGAUAAAACGAGGCACGUGUGCCUUUUUGCAUGUACUUUAUGAAUAAGGAUCGGCUAACUCCGUGCCAGCAGCCGCGGUAAUACGGAGGAUCCGAGCGUUAUCCGGAUUUAUUGGGUUUAAAGGGAGCGUAGAUGGGUUGUUAAGUCAGAUGUGAAAGUUUGCGGCUCAACCGUAAAAUUGCAAUUGAUACUGGCAGUCUUGAGUACAGUUGAGGUAGGCGGAAUUCGUGGUGUAGCGGUGAAAUGCUUAGAGAUCACGAAGAACCCCGAUUGCGAAGGCAGCUUACUAAGCUGUGACUGACAUUGAUGCUCGAAAGUGUGGGUAGCAAACAGGAUUAGAUACCCGGGUAGUC